CAGGUGGGCACUCCUGAGGCUGCAGAGCGGAGGAGACCACCAACACUGCCCACCCCUGCCCACAUCCCUGGCCCAAGAGGCAACUGUAUAAGGCCUCUGGGUUCCCGUAGGGGAGGGCCCAGGAGUGGCAGGACCCCUGCGCCUGAGACACCGCCGGAACCUGAAGGAAACAAACUGGAUAAACAGUUCUCUGCACCCAAAUCCCGUGGGAGGAAGAGCUAAACCUUUAGAGAGGCGGACACGCCUGGGAAACCAGAAGAGACUGCACUCUGUGCACAUCCAGACGCCAGAGGAAAACACCAAACGCCAUCUGGAACCCUGGUGCACGGAGGCUCCCGGUAAGAGCGGCACAGAUCUUCCCGGUUGUUGCCGCCGCGGAGAGGACUUAGGCAGCACCCCACGAGCAAACUUGAGCCUUGGAACCACAGGUAGGACCAACUUUUCCCCUGCAAGAAACCUGCCUGGUGAACUCAAGACACAGGCCCACAGGAACAGCUGAAGACCUGUAGAGAGGAAAAACUACACGCCCGAAAGCAGAACACUCUGUCCCCAUAACUGGCUGAAAGAAAACAGGAAAA
rnacentral:lncRNA from 1 species